ACUUAAGUAAUUUAAAUAAAAUAUUGAUUUGUGGAUUCAAAAAUAUGAUUAAUCAUUUUAAGUC
rnacentral:tRNA from 2 species